UUGACGGGGGCCCGCACAAGCGGUGAGCAUGUGGUUAAUUCGAUGCAACGCGAAGAACCUUACCAGGGCUUGACAUCCCCUGACCGCGUAUGAAAGUACGUUUUCACCUCGGGUGACAGGGAGACAGGUGGUGCAUGGUUGUCGUCAGCUCGUGUCGUGAGAUGUUGGGUUAAGUCCCGCAACGAGCGCAACCCCUACGUUUAGUUGCUAACGCGUGAAGGCGAGCACUCUAGACGAACUGCCGUUGACAAAACGGAGGAAGGUGGGGAUGACGUCAAAUCAUCAUGCCCCUUAUGUUCUGGGCUACACACGUGCUACAAUGGCCGGUACAGACGGACGCAAAGCCGCGAGGUGGAGCAAAUCCUAAAAAGCCGGUCUCAGUUCGGAUUGCAGGCUGCAAUUCGCCUGCAUGAAGUCGGAAUCGCUAGUAAUCGCAGGUCAGCAUACUGCGGUGAAUACGUUCCCGGGCCUU
rnacentral:rRNA from 1 species